UACGGAGGGUGCAAGCGUUAUCCGGAUUCACUGGGUUUAAAGGGUGCGUAGGUGGACUUGUAAGUCAGUGGUGAAAGCCUCGAGCUUAACUUGAGAAUUGCCAUUGAUACUGCUUGUCUUGAAUGCGGUUGAGGUGAGUAGAAUAUGUCAUGUAGUGGUGAAAUACUUAGAUAUGACAUAGAAUACCGAUUGCGAAGGCAGCUCACUAAGCCGUGAUUGACGCUGAGGCACGAAAGCGUGGGGAUCAAACAGG
rnacentral:rRNA from 1 species